rnacentral:rRNA from 1 species
GGCUAGGGGGUCAUCCCGACUUACCAACCCUUUGCAAACUCCGAAUACCAAUGAGUACUACUCGGGAGACACACGACGGGUGCUAACGUCCGCCGUGAAAAGGGAAACAACCCAGACCACCAGCUAAGGUCCCAAAGUCAUGGUUAAGUGGAAAACGAUGUGGGAAGGCAUAGACAGCUAGGAGGUUGGCUUAGAAGCAGCCACCCUUUAAAGAAAGCGUAAUAGCUCACUAGUCGAGUCGGCCUGCGCGGAAGAUGUAACGGGGCUAAACCAUGCACCGAAGCUGUGGACUUGUGCUAGGCACAAGUGGUAGAGGAGCGUUCUGUAAGCCUGCGAAGGCAUCUCGUGAGGGGUGCUGGAGGUAUCAGAAGUGCGAAUGCUGACAUAAGUAACGAUAAGGGGAGUGAAAAACUUCCCCGCCGGAAGACCAAGGGUUCCUAUCCCAUGCUAAUCAGGGUAGGGUAAGUCGGCCCCUAAGGCGAGGGCGAAAGCCGUAGUCGAUGGGAAACAGGUUAAUAUUCCUGUACUUGAUAUAUAGCGUGAUGGAGGGACGCAGGAAGGUAGGCAAUCCAGGUGUUGGAAGUCCUGGUGUAAGCAAGUAGGAGUGUCUAAUAGGUAAAUCCGUUAGAUGAAUCUGAGAUGCGAAUCCGUGAACGAAAGUUCUGAAGUUGUUGAGCCUAAGCUGCCAAGAAAAGCUUCUAAGCAUAUAUAUAUCAAACCGUACCGCAAACCAACACAGGUGGGUAGGACGAAUAGUCCAAGGCGCUCGAGAGAACUCUGGCCAAGGAACUCGGCAAAAUGACCCCGUAACUUCGGAAGAAGGGGUGCUUUUGAGGGUGAAGAUAAAACAAUCUGAGCUUUUGAAAGCCGCAGUGAAUUGGUGGUGGCGACUGUUUACUAAAAACAUAGGUCUCUGCAAAGUCGUAAGACGAAGUAUAGGGACUGACGCCUGCCCGGUGCUGGAAGGUUAAAAGGAGUUGUCAGCGUAAGCGAAGCAGCGAAUUGAAGCCCCAGUAAACGGCGGCCGUAACUAUAACGGUCCUAAGGUAGCGAAAUUCCUUGUCGGGUAAGUUCCGACCUGCACGAAUGGUGUAACGAUCUGGGCGCUGUCUCAGCCAUGAGCUCGGUGAAAUUGUAGUAGCGGUGAAGAUGCCGCUUACCCGCAGUGGGACGAAAAGACCCUGUGCACCUUUACUAUAGCUUAAUAUUGACCUUGGACACGUGAUGUGUAGGAUAGGUGGGAGACUGUGAAGUGGCGUCGCUAGGCGUUGUGGAGUCAUUGUUGAAAUACCACCCUUUGCUUGUCUGAGGCCUAACCCCGCGCUGCGGGGGACAUUGUUUGGUGGGUAGUUUGACUGGGGUG